ensembl:ncRNA Y39B6A.70 ncRNA
ACAAAAAAGAAUUGCCCCGAACCAGGAUCGAACUGGUGACCUCACGAUCUUCAGUCGUGCGCUCUCCCAACUGAGCUAUCGAGGCA